rnacentral:rRNA from 1 species
CAAUUCGUCGUAGUUUGAUUAUUUCUGAUAUUAUCUUUUAUUUUUUGGCUUGUUGAUUGAGUUUAUUAAAUUAUUAUUAUUGUUAUUGUAUAUUUAAGAUUUAAUUGUUUUUGUGAUAGUUUAUUUGUACUGUGAGGGGUUUCUUUAUUAAUUUGGGGAAGUUGAUUUUUUUUGUUGUACCUUGUGUAUCAGGGUUUACUGAAUUUUAUUAUUUAUUUUUAUUUCCCGAUUUUGGAGGAGUUAACAAUUGGUGUGUUGUUUAUUGUUUUAUAAAUUAUCAGUGACAUUUUGUUGGCGGUGAAAUGCUAUUCGACUUCAUAGGUUUCUGGUUUUUCAAGAAACGAAUUUAAUUCGUGUGUUUUGUUUAAUUUUUCUUUUUGUUUGUGUAGUUUUACUUUGUUCUAAUAUUAAGGGGGAUUAGCUCCUUUUUAUAUUUUAAUAUCUUUUUCUUGGUUUAGUCUUGUGGUUUUUAUGGUGAUUUUCAAUUUGAUUAUGUUAAAAUUUUGUUAUUCUUUGUUUUUAUUUUGUUGUGAUUUAUUUUUAUAUUGAAACGUUGUUUUUUUCUUAUGAUGACUUGUGAUUAUUGUGGAAUUAGUAUAUUUUCGUGUUUGUUUUGUUUUUUGUUUGUUAAUUUCUUUUGAGGAAUUCGGCAAAUAAUUUGUGCCCGCCUGUUUAACAAAAACAUCUCUUCUUGUUAGUUUUUGAAGUAAGGCCUGCCCACUGACUGAGUUAAAGGGCCGCGGUAUUUUGACCGUGCAAAGGUAGCAUAAUCAUUAGUUCUUUAAUUGUGAUCUGGUAUGAAUGGUUUGACGAGGUACAAUCUGUCUUAAUGUUUUGUAUUUUAAUUGAAUUUAAGGUUUUGGUUAGAAUUCUUAAAUGUUUUUGUGGGACGAGAAGACCCUAUAGAGUUUUACACUUACAUUUAUUAUGUGGGUUUGGUUGUUGUCAUAUUUAAUGGUGCGUGUUUUGUUGGGGCGAUGGGAAGAUUUUUUGGAACUCUUCCUUAUUUGUUAUUCACUUAUUUGUGUUUUAGCUUGAUCCAUUGGUUUUGAUUAUAAGAUUUAAUUACCUUAGGGAUAACAGCGUUAUCCCCUUUGAGAGUUCUUAUCGGCGAGGGGGGUUGCGACCUCGAUGUUGGAUUAGGAUAAAUUUUUGGUGUAGAAGCUAAAUAUAUUGGGUCUGUUCGACCUUUAAAAUCCUACAUGAUCUGAGUUCAGACCGGCGUGAGCCAGGUUGGUUUCUAUCUACUAUUAGUUUUUGUACCUUAGUACGAGAGGACCAGGUACUCGGAAUAAUUUUAUUUGUUACUGAUUUUUAUUAAUUGGGCUCCUUUGGCAGACAAGUGCGUUAGAUUUAGAAUCUAUUAAUG